rnacentral:rRNA from 1 species
CCUACGGGGGGCAGCAGUGGGGAAUAUUGGACAAUGGGCGAAAGCCUGAUCCAGCCAUGCCGCGUGUGUGAAGAAGGCCUUCGGGUUGUAAAGCACUUUCAGUGGGGAAGAAAGCCUUGGCUAAUACCCUCGAGGAAGGACAUCACCCACAGAAGAAGCACCGGCUAACUCCGUGCCAGCAGCCGCGGUAAUACGGAGGGUGCGAGCGUUAAUCGGAAUUACUGGGCGUAAAGCGCGCGUAGGCGGUCUGAUAAGCCGGUUGUGAAAGCCCCGGGCUCAACCUGGGAACGGCAUCCGGAACUGUCAGGCUAGAGUGCAGGAGAGGAAGGUAGAAUUCCCGGUGUAGCGGUGAAAUGCGUAGAGAUCGGGAGGAAUACCAGUGGCGAAGGCGGCCUUCUGGACUGACACUGACGCUGAGGUGCGAAAGCGUGGGUAGCAAACAGGAUUAGAUACCCGUGUAGUC